rnacentral:miRNA from 1 species
GGAGGGAGGAAAAAAAAAAA